rnacentral:rRNA from 1 species
AUGAAAGCGAGAUUUCGUAAGCAUGUUGGUGAGGUCAAUAGUCCUCAUUGUGAAGCCGAAGAGAAAUAUAAUUUGUUCAUCAAACCUAAAGCAUCAAUCCGUGAGGCAAUGGCCUCACAAACCACACAAUACAAGGCACAAUAUCUAGCUCGGUUGAAAUGGUCACUUGAGUGCAUAAAAUUUAUUUUGCAUGAGGGGUUGGCUUUUCAUGGUCAUGAUGAGGGAAAGGAUUCAAAAAAUAAAGGAAAUUUUCGAGAACUUUUGCAAUGGUUGGCAGGCAACUUUGAAGAAGUUAAUAAGGUAGUUUUAGGAAAUGCUCCACAAAAUUGUCAGAUGAUAGAUCACAAGAUUCAAAAACAGCUUAUUGGUUCUUGUGCUCAGGAAACAACAAAGUUUGUCAUAGAGGAACUUGGUGAUGAGUGUUUUGCAAUUCUUGCUAAUGAAUCUAGUGAUGCAUACCAGCAAGAACAGUUAGCUCUUUGCUUGUGA